GUGGCCCGUCCUGCUCCUGCACCACACCGUGAGCCCCCCGGAACAUCAGCCAACAGGAGCCAGUGCAGAGCAGGAGGACUGAGUGACAGCUGAAGGAAGCAAUGAGAAACUGAAAACUUACCCCAGACCUACCAAGGAGGAGGAGGUGUUCCAGCCCUUCCCUAAGUUUGGGAAAGGCAUCCUGUGAGCAGGUGGCUUCUUCUGGAGAUGCCCCCACCCCACCUAGCCUCAAAUAACAACAGGAACAUCAUCGGAAAGGAACUUUGUGAAUUUCCUCCUGGGCUGACCAUCCCCAGCUGGCGUCUGGCUCUCUGUGGCUGCCCUCCUCCAUCCACUGUGCAGGGAGGCCUCCAACACCCUGACAGCUCUCCUGCCUCUAUCCACGGAUGGCCUCCCAAGGCAGGAAGAGCUCACUUCCUCCCCACAGUGGUGAGAGCAGGACCCGGUCUCAGCACCACUACGGAAAUAACCUGGUCCCUGCAGGUGCUCCAGCGUCUCUUCCUUGGCAGCCCCUUGCAAAUUACCACCAAGAUGCAACGCAGGCCCAAGUGUGCCUGGUUGAUGGCCAUGUCUGCACUAUCAGUCCUCAAUCCACCUGGUCCCAGGAACAGUCAUGCUCUAGGACUUUUGCCAUGUCACACCCAGAACAGUGACAGAGCCUUUGGCCUCCCCUAGGAAAUCUGAGGUCCCUGGGAUCUGCUUCUCCAUGAUGGGCAAGGCUCCAGCCCCUCAUCAGAGUCCUGUUCUCUCUCUCUCUCUGACCGCCAGCUGCUAAAUCCAGCCGUGCACAGAUUCCAAGGUGUUGCUGACCAGGACUUGAAUUGGGGUUCACAUUACAAGGACACUUGCACGUCGCUCCAGCAGACAAACUCCAGACGAACACAGCACGGUUCGUGGAGAUUUAUGUACACAGGGCAGAGACGACACCCACCCAGGUCCAGCUGGACACGCACACCGCGGCCUGGGGAGGCAUCUGGCGUGGGGACGAGGACUCGGGCCAGUCCCCAGACAGUGUGGUGGCUGCCGAUCCCUUGGUUUCUAGUAAUUGCACUUAAUUUCCUGGCAUUUAGGUCUCUGCCCCCUUGGGCUCUUGAAGAUGCCAGAGCUGGGACAUGAAUGUGACAAAAUCCCUGCAGAGUUCUUACGGCUUGGGCUGGCCAGGACCCAGCCAUAUGUCCAAAGGCUUCCCCUUAAAGCUGUUGUCAAAUAUACAUAAAUUCUGUUUGCAGUCUCUGGA